UACGUAGGGUGCAAGCGUUGUCCGGAAUUAUUGGGCGUAAAGAGCUCGUAGGCGGUCUGUCGCGUCUGGUGUGAAAACUCAGGGCUUAACCCUGAGCUUGCAUCGGGUACGGGCAGACUAGAGUGCGGUAGGGGAGACUGGAAUUCCUGGUGUAGCGGUGAAAUGCGCAGAUAUCAGGAAGAACACCCGUGGCGAAGGCGGCUCUCUGGGACGGUACUGACGCUGAGACGCGAAAGCGUGGGGAGGCGAACAGGAUAGAUACCUG
rnacentral:rRNA from 1 species